CCAUAUGUACAUCUUUUUUGGAAGAUACCAUUAGGCAACUACAUAUUAGCAAUGAAAACAGAAACCUGAUACACUGAAUGUUAAUUACAAAAUGUAAUUUCUAUAGCAAGUCUGUUCUUACAGUAGCCAGGCAGAUGGUUAUGGGAAACCCAGAAGUAGAACAUGAAUGCAGCAGCAGCAGUCUCCCACCCAUGAUCUCCAGCAACUUGUACUCAGAGGUAAAGUUAUAUAGGCAUUCAUUAAUUUAUUUCAUUUUAUUUCAUUUUCUAUGCUGCUUUCCCAGCAAAGUUGUUCUUAAAAGGGUUUAUCAUCCUAUUGAAACAGCAGAGGUUGACUUGUCCUCCGUGAAUUUGUUGAACCCUUUAAAGCCAUCCAAGUUGGUCUUGUGGCAGCAAAUCCCAUAGUUUUAACUCCUUGAUCCUUCCUCCAUCUCCCAAUGUUCAGCUUAAUGGGAUAACACCCAGUUGUAUUAUUAUGGGAGAUGGAGAAAACCUUCUUCCUACCAAAUUUCUCCAUCUAUAUCCUCCCUUCCUUAUUAGUCUUUUUUCUAAACUAAAAAGCCCCAAACACUAUAACCAUUAUUCAUAGGAGUGUUGCUCCAGCUCUUUCAUCAUUUGGUUGCCAAUUUCUGAACCUUUUCCAGCUCCUUUUGAGGUGAGGCAACCAAGUUUCCAUGUAAAACAGAGCAAGUAUUUGACCUUUAUAAAAUCUGACAUGGCCUCUUGGCAAUUCGCCCUUUCCUGACCAAGGCAAAUAAAAGCUGGUUUUUAAGCAUUCCCCCCAUUUACAACUUCCUUUAUGUUUUAUAUUUUUUUGGGGGGGGGAGAAGGACACUUUAUGACAUGCCAGACAAGUUCUAUUAAGAUUUGGACUCACGUACUCAUGGACUUGCGUUCUCAGGAAGUAUAUAAUCAGUUUCCUAGGAAUCAGCAUAAUAGAAUUGUAGAGUUGGAAGGGAAUCCCAAGAGUCAUCUAUUCCGACCCCCUGCAGGAAUCUCGGUCAAAACAUCCGCGACAGAUGGCUAUUCAACCUCUGCUUAAAAACCUCCAAUGAAGGAGAGUCCACAACCUCCCGAGGGAGUCUGUCCCGCAUAAAUUCCCUGGCUUAGUAAAAGCAUAUAUGAUUUGCUGAACAACCAGUUUCCAGCCAGGGAUGCAAAUGACUGGUUCUACUGUGUUUGCUAAUCUACUGAGUCAGACCACUGGUCCAUCUAGCCCAGGAAUGUCCACACUGGCUGGCAGCAGCUCUCCGGGCUUUCAGGCAGGGAAUAUUUUCCUGGGAAACCUUGGGUAUAGGGUAUCUGUGGAUCCCUUGUCCUGUCCCUUCCUUUUCCACCUCAGAUCUACCCCCUUCUCUCUCUUGGUCCCAUCCCUUUAAAGAAAACAACGAGAACCCUGAAAAACUCCCUAUUGAUGGUGGUGGGGAAGCCAAUACAAACUUGAAUUUCAUGGGUUGCCUUAAAAAAAAGAAAGAAAUUGCAAACAGUAUAAGUUUGACUUGUAACUUAGGGUGCAAGCCAAAUCCUGGCAACAAGGCAUGAAUGGAGCCACCACCUUAUUUGGAGUUCUCUUGUUCCUGCUGUCUGGGGGCAGAAGGCUAUUGAGGUUGGGCAGCCAACUUUCCCAUGCAGCCUUUGGCUUAACAGCUUGACUUCCGCUCUCAGCUGAACAUCGCUGCUUGACACCAUCUGUCUCAACAUUGUCUUCUAAGACCAGCAAAAACAGGGUCUCAGGUAGAGGUCUUUCCCAUCACCUAUGCUUUAAUCCUUUUAUCUACAAUUAGAGGUGUUGGGGGUUGAGCUUGUAUCUUCUGCAGAUAAAGCAAACUCCCCAUAUCCUAUUUCUUUUGCACCCAUCUUUCCAAACAAACCGCCUUUCACACAAUGCCUGUCUCACCCCACUGACAUGGGAUUUCUCCCCAAACCUAUCCUCCUCCUCUUGUGAUUUUCCCCCCAUGAGAAAGGCAGCAGGUGGGAGGAAAACAUUCAGGCCUGCUUGAUGACAACAGAUAUGUCUGUAUAGUAAGGAGCCUAGAUCCCCCUUGAGUAAGUAAACAUGAUUUCUUAUCAUUGUUCCAUCUUGAAACAGCCAUAUCCUAAUACUUAGUAUCAUGAUCUUAAUAGAUAUAUUAAUUAGGGUUGCUGGACUCCACACGCCCAUCGUCCCUGACCAGCAACUGUGCCAGCUGGGGAUGAUGGGAAUUGUAGGCCAAAAUUUAUGGAGGGCACCAGGUUAGCAAAGUCUGCAUCAACAGGCGUAAGAUAUGUAUGGCAAUCUGUUAAAUGCCUCUGUUGUUUCCUAAACAUCUUGUGAUAAGGGCUGUUUCCUGCCUAGGGAUAUAAUAUCUGGUGUUUCAAACAAGGCAUAAGAAAAUUUGAGAAAUGCAGGGUGGUAAUUUGAUCCUUGCUGGAAACUCAUUUACACCACCAGCCCAUAAACAGGGUUUAACACCCUCCAGCUAUUUGCUGUGGAAAGAUGAGAAGGCCCAUUAGGCCUAACAGGCUGUGUUUCAUCCACCAGGCUGCCCUAAAGCCAGUGUUUGCCUGUAAUAUUUUGAGCUGGAUUGGGAGAUAGCAAGUCGAUCACUGUGUAAACUGAAAGCAGCACCGUGUUAUUCCUGCUUUCCUAAACAAAAACCAAUUCCCCUUUCUCACGCCACCCACACACCAGUGAUUAGCUUAUUAAUAAACCAGUGGAAGUGAAACCACUGGUUUCAACAAAGGCCUUUUAUAACACCUUUCUGUCGCCCUUGUCCCACAAUGCCCUGCUGUGCUGUAGGUAAUGAGGCUCCAAUCAGCGGACAAUGACCGGCAAUAGAAACUCAGGAGUGACAGAAAACCACAGUUGCUUUGCAGGCUUCAUGGGACAGGAAUGCUGGCCUUAACUUUUAAGGCAGUUAUAAAGCACUGCCCCACAGGCAAUAAGCUUUUACCAAGCCUUUACAAGGGGCUGAGCUUUUAGUGUAGCCAAGCCCUGCCCUGUGGAACUCCCUGCCACUGGAAGCUUGGAAGUAAUCGUCCCUGCUGGCUUUUUAGAUGACUCCUGAAAAAUGUGUUACUCAGGCAAGCCUUUGAAACGUGAACUUCAUUUUCCCAACCGUUAUUUUAAUGAAAAUGUGGUUUAGAAAUAUUAGGGCAGAAAGUCGUCCAGUCUGGCAUCCUGUUCUCACAGCGGCCAACCAGACUGCAAGCAGGCAGAUGGGCACAGAAGCACCCUCCCACCCAUGUUUCGCAUGACAGGCAUGAAGUAAAGCCAUUGCAUUAGCAGCAUCAAUGUGACCUCUCUGGGGUGCAAGCCUGGGCAGUGUGUAUGGAGGUCCUGGGCUGCCCAGAUGACAAGACCUUUCUCUUGGCCCCACUGAUGUGGUCCAAAGGAAAGCAGAGCAAUAUGUUUGGCACUAGCUUCCCUGUAGGAGUUGCUGGAAGGAGCUGAACAAGGCACCAUCCAACCAUCUUAGGGACUCCCCUCUGGAUUUGUGUAGGGUUUACUCCUUAGUGUUUUCUUUUCCCAGAGAUAUGUCUCAAGACAGCAGAAGGUUAGGAUCAGAGUUUUCUUUCUCCUAGAUGGGUUGUCUUCCCAGGUUGAUGAGCCCCAUUCGCCCCUCUAGUCCCUCUACAGCAUGUGCAGAAAACGCUGCCUUUGACCACUGAUGGUCUCAUCCACCAGAGCCUAUCUUCACAUUCAGGGGAAGUCCAUCACUCACCGCGGGUUUGAGACCUGUUUGCUACCCACACCUGGUUUAGCCAGCCAGUCAAAGCCAGUCCCAGGGUGAAAGACCAUAUAAAUUGAGUUUCAUAAGGAAAACACCAGCAUUGUUUGCAAUCCAGCUCUCUGGAUUUUCACCUUGGUAUUCUCUUCCCCCUUCCCACUUCUGAUAAAUCCUACUUUAUAUUUUACUUGGGAAUUAACUGGAAAUGUUAAUUCUUAGAACCUCCUUGUUUUUCUGUGCCUAGCCUUUCUGUAAAAGGGUUAGCAUGCCGUAAGCGGGGAUGACAGUGUUUCAUCUUGGAAUUGCAAGUCAUGUGCUUAAUUGGAAAUGAUUUCAGUUUACUACACUGGAGAGUAAUGCCGCGAUGUCCUCACCAAAGGAGCACAUGACUCUUGUGUAAGCCGGCUGUACCUGGGAGGAGGGAAUUUGAUAAGGCUCUCCGGGUGUGUAUUGUUGUAAGCAGAUUAAUAGCUCUGAUCCAAUAAAGGAGGUCUCUGCAGUGGCAUCAUCGCAGAGAGCCAGUGUGGAGUGAUGGCUGCUGCCGGCUUCUUGGAUCACGCUAGCCAAUGAAAGAUUCAUGAGGAGAUGGUGUUUUAUAAGCCAAUAUCUCAUAUUGCUGCAGAGUCAGAAGUGUGACGUGAGCCAAUCGAUAUAACCCGCCCUCCCGAAAGGUGGUAAUGGGAGUGUGUUUAUGAGAGGAGAAAUGCUCCACAACAGGUGUGGGAAAUCUCAGGUUCAGAGACCAAAAUCCAGCCUCCUUUACUCUCCUCAGGCCAGACUCUGAAGGUACUUACCUGGCUGCAAUGUGUACUUCAGCUCUCGUAAUACCUCUCUCUAGUCUGGAUGAGGGAUAGCUAUUGUGGAGUGGCAGUUUUGUAUUUUUGUGUUGCUGGUUUUGUUUUUUCUUUUGUAACGUAUACAGCUUUGGAUGAGCAUUUGCCCAGAAGAGUGUCCUAAAACCACUUUAAACUAAAUAAAAAUCUUGUCUAAAUAAAAAAAUAUUGUUUGCCAGAGAGAGGGGGCGAGCAAUUCCCUGAGUUGCAUUAGCAGUGGGAUUUGGGGCUGGUCGACGGGAAAACGGGGGGGAAAUUUGCAGUAUCAUGCCACAUCAACACAUGGUUACAGUAACUGGACAUAGCCUUCCUUUUUUGGAUGAGAAGAGCUCUUUCUCCUAGUCCAGAAUGAUUGGUAGGCGUCUCUCUAUGUGUGUAAAACUGAAAGCGAGAGAGCAGCUGUUUGCAACAGAUAGCUCAGCACCCUGUGAAGUGCAGUGCUGUUGAGAUCUCAGCUAAAACAUCUUGAUUUCCCAGAGGCACCUACGUAUACAUAUAGGUAAACCUGUGUCAGAGGCCUACACCUUGACCUAGCAACACCUUCGCCAAGGAGACGGCCUGAAGGUUUUUCUUUCAGAUUUCAGAGUGAGGGCAGGAAAACCUUUCCAGCCUGAAAGCCACAUUGCUUUCUGGGUAGGCACGCCAACUCCAUGGGGGUGAGGCCUCUACAGCCCCCACUCUAAUGUCCACUGGAGCGGGGCUCAGCCUCCCCCCAAUCUUGAAGUGGCAGGGGAGGCCUGGUGGGAUGCUGUUGGCAAGGCCAGAGUGAAGGAAGACUAGGCUGAGAGGCAGUGACUGGCCCAAAGUCACCCAGUGGCUUCAUGGCUUUAAAGUGAACCAGUAAUAGGUAGAGAUUUGUGGUUGGAUCUCUUGCCAUAUUUAGUGGUAAAUGCAGCGGGUGUGGGGGUGGAUCUCAGUUGGAAUCUGGCUGCUGGGAGGUCAGCCAACUUCCCAGCAAAACCUCCCCUGUGAAGUUGCUAUUUGCCCCACAAGUGAAUAUUUCCCCUUACAAGGCAAAUAGCCACUUGGGAGGUGGAGGAGAGAUGCAGUGGAAAAAUAAUAUGAGUGAAAGGAUUAAUUGCCCCUCCCUGAUUGGAUUUGUGGGUCUUCAGUAUUGCAGUAAUCAAGUUGCAGUCUUGUGUGCAUAUACCUGGAAGUCUCAUUAAACUCAAUGGGACUUACUUCUGAGUCGGUAUGGUUAGGAGUCAGAUGUUCUUGUAGUCACAUCCACAUAAUACAUGCUUGGAAAUUGUCAUUUGCCCAUCACAGGCUGUGCAACCCACUCUACCUUUAAAGCACAUUCCCCACCCCAAAGAAUUCUGGGCCCUGUAGUUCGUUAAGGGCUGCUGGAAACUGUAACUCUGUGAGGGGGAAACUACAAUGCCCAGAAUUCUUUUGAGGGCAAGAAAGUGGUUUGAAUGCCCUUUACAGGUACAGUGUAGCAACAGAGCUACAGUUCCCAGUAGCCUUUAGAAACUAUAGUUCCCGGAAUGCUUUUGGGUAGGGGAGCCAUGUGUUUUAAAUGCAGAAACCUUUUGCUCAGAUUGCAAGGGCUUUUUGGAAAGGGCGAUCCGUCGAGGGCAAUCUGUACAUUGAGUCCCCUUGAGGUUUGCAUAAGGAAACGAAUUAAUAUUCGUAUGGUCCUGUUCCUGCUGGUGGUUUUACAUUUACAGUUGGCAAGGCUAGCACCGAGCAAAGGGAAGCAGCCUUCUUUUCCUUUUGCUUGGAGAUCGAAAGCAGCAUUCCCAGUUCUGGUAACAGGAGCUCGUAAUUGUUCUGGCCUCCCCACUUUGCACAAUGACACAGCGCUUGAUCACCCCUCUGCGCUGCCCAUCAGUCUUGUUUUCGCUUAUGAUUUCUUGUAAGGCUAAAGGGCCAUAAAACAUUCUUAUCUGCCUUUGUGGCAGCACUGGCUGAAGUGUUCUCUGAGAUAACAGCUCUCUGAGCCGGAGAGAGGGAGGAACCUGUUUAGAUUGCAAAACCACCUCUCUGCAUCUGGAGAAACAGAAACUCCUGCAGUAUAAAGCAGGCCUCUGGAGCUCUGAUUGGUUAUAGGCAGGAAGGUUUGAAUGAAAUGCCACCUGUACUCUGUGGCCUGCAAGAGGGCAGGACCACAGAAGGGAUGGGGAUGUGGCUCAGCAGUAAAGCACGUGAUUUACAUGCAAAAAGUAUUGGGGUCAAUUGCCACAUACCAGGUUUCUAAUUAAAGGUACCAGGUAUCAGAAGAUAGGGAAGAUCUCCAUAUAUGCAAGGGAGCUGAUCUGCCACAAAUAAUUCUGGGCACUGUCGUUUACUCUCAAGAGUCAAUUCCCAGCAACACUUAACAGACAGCAGUGCCCAGAAUUCUGGGAAGGAGAGCAUGCACUUUGAAAGUGCAUUAAAAGUAUAGUGUUUGUACACAGCCCGGGGGAGGGGGGAUCAUUGUUUAGCUCAAGGUUUGCAUUAUGGGAAACCUUUCAGUAAGGGGCACAUGUCAGCGGCAUGCAGGGGCUAAAGUACACAGAGGAACAGGUGCGACUCUUGACUUUGAACAGUAACAGUUUGAGGUUUCUGCAUACAGACAUACAGCCCACGCAUCUCUCCGUCUCCUAUGCAGGCAAGCAAGAGGGAUUAUCGCAGUUCAAGGACACGUUCCAGUCUGGUAAAAGCCAUCCAGGAGGGUGGAGAGCAGGGCCAUUGAGAGGAGGAGCUUGUGAAGGACCUGAUAGAGAGGUGUGGAAGGGCUGUAGGAGUUGGGAACAGGUCAGCAAUAACGCACAAGGGGUCAGGGAAGUUAACUACAGUGGUAAAGGUAAAGGUACCCCUGCCCGUACGGGCCAGUCGUGUCCGAAUCUAGGGUUGUGCGCCCAUCUCACUUAAGGGGCCGGGGGCCAGCGCUGUCCAGAGACACUUCCGGGUCACGUGGCCAGCGUGACGAAGCUGCUCUGGCGAGCCAGCACCAGCGCAGCUCACGGAAAUGCCGUUUACCUUCCCGCUAUAAAGCGGUACCUAUUUAUCUACUUGCACUUAAGAGUGCUUUCGAACUGCUAGGUGGGCAGGAGCUGGGACCGAAAGACGGGAGCUCACCCCGCUUCGGGGAUUCGAACCGCCAACCAUGCGAUCGGCAAGCCCUAGGCGCUGAGGUUUUACCCACAGCGCCACCCGCGUCCCCUAACUACAGUGGUACCUCGGGUUAAGUACAUAAUUCGUUCCGGAGGUCCAUUCUUAACCUGAAACUUCUUAACCUGAAGCACCACUUUAGCUAAUGGGGCCUCCUGCUGCCACCGCGCUGCCAGAGCACGAUUUCUGUUCUCAUCCUGAAGCAAAGUUCUUAACCUGAGGUAAUAUUUUUGGGUUAGCAGAGUCUGUAACCUGAAGCGUAUGUAGCCUGAAGCGUAUGUAACCCGAGGUACCACUGUAUUCAGAGAAAACAAAGCAGCUCAGGCCUAGUGAGCACAGCACGUCUUCCCAGUGGAUCUUGCCCCAAUGAGGCAGUUGCGAGGACUAAGACUCCCCACGCCCCCAGGUCCUUCCUAAGCAACCUGAGACUUCUUUGCCUUGUCUGCCUCUGCUCCGUCCUCUUCAUACUUCUGUGGGUUCUGGGAGACCAGAGGGAGGGGAGCUGGUCACAACAGGACAGAGAGACCCCCUAGCUUCUCAGGGAGCCCACCUCAUCUCUGCCUCUUGACCCUUCUCUCCAGCCUCUGAUUCUGGACUGCCCUCUGCCACAGCCUCUUCCUGCUCACUAAACCCUGUUGCCUCUCCAACUUCCGACAUCUGCUUCUCCCAGUCUGCUCCUUCUUCUCCCUCUGACCACUCGCCAGCAUCCCACCACCAAUCCCCAGGCUCUGAGCCUCCUUCCCUUGGGGAUUCCCCAGUUGGUAACUCCCACCACUCCUCAGCACCCAGCCAGUCCAUGACACUAAGGUUCCCAACCUCUAAGAUGUGCAAUACAGGACUAAAUGGACAGUCAGUCUGGUUUUGUGUGAGUUUGCCAUGUUCUUAAAGAAAGAAGAUGGGAUUGUUUUGGUUUUUAUCAUUUUGUAUUGCUUUAUUUAAAAAAAUAAAUAAAUAGUGUUGCAGUGCACAGGAAUGGGUAUUGAAGCCUUUCGAAAUUCAGGCAGAAUAAGAAAGUUGUACGUCCCUGCCUGAAAUCCUUCAUUAAAAGGGAAGAUGUUCCAGAGUUGGGGUGCCACCACCAAAAAGGCUCUGCACCACAUCUUCCUCUGCUAUGCUUCUACUGGUGGCAUCAGGUGGAGCAAGGCAUCAAAUCAUGAAUGUAAAGGACAGGCAGGUUCAUUUUGCUUUUUCCCCUACCUGCUGUCUAACAAACUAGUGAAAGCAUGAUUUCUCACGCCAACAAUGCUACUCUGAGGGGUGACAGGCAGAAGGUGUGCCUCAAAUUAAAAUGAAAGAGGCUUGGAUCAUGCAACGAAACUGAUCCGGAGGUGUAUCUGGGCUGCACUCUGAACUAAGUGUUUCCUCAAGGGUAGCAGCCUAUUGCCCAGAUACACCUUGUUGCAAUCCAAGGGGAAGCUGAUGAAAGUUUAAUGCAUAAGCAGGAAGUAUAAAACAAAUCUCAGGAGGGAAGAAAAACAUAGAAGCUCUCUUGAGGUUUGGGUACUGGUUAUUGACUUACCAGGUGCAUCUAAAUCCAUCUGAUAUUAACUAGAGAACCAACAGCAUGACAGUUCAUAGUCAAUUUUUAUGUCACCUAUGAUCGCGUUUACACUGCUCCUGGUGAUAGAUUUUGAUACUUUCUGCAGGUAUUAUGGCAAUACACAGUAUAAUCACUAUCUUAUUAUGUUACAGUGUAAUCAGAUGAAUAGCCUAAUAAAACUUUGACAGGGCUUCCAACCUCAUUGCUUUGCGAUCAGAACACUUGUUGUUCUUUCAAAUCAAUAUUAAUUGGAUUCUCAAGAUUGCCUUGGCCAAUAUAUCCGCACUAGACCUCUUUGGUCUGAGGAACUGGCACUGUUACAGGUGCUGCACAUUCCUUCCCCUGAAAAGUAUCUUGGGAACUGUAGUUUAACCCCUCACAGAACUACAGUUCCCAGCACCCUUCGCAAAUAACAGUUCCCAGGAUUCUUGUUGGGGAGGUUGCUUUAAAUGAAUGUUGCAUACAUACCAUAUCAGCCUGAGAAUUCCUGAGAAUUAUAUCUUAUUGAAGACAGCAUCUGGCCACACCCACAAUAUUCUCCCUUGCAUUCUUGUUACUCGCCUUGGGGAAACCUUUGUUAUGCAAAGAUGGGUCAUAAAUCUUGGUUAAGAGACUGAGCUAUGUAUCUGGAAGUCUCCACUUUGAAUCUCACUCCCUUGUCUCACUAGCUGGCCUUAGGCAAUCUAAACUGUCUUGGCCCUAUUACAGAUGGGGGUUAAUAAUGUUGAUUUACCUUCUAGGCGUGUUGUCAGGAUUACAAACAGGGUGCAUAUGAAGAGCUCUGAACACUUGAAAGCACAGUACAAAUGUUAUUGUUAAGAUAAAGAGGCUGGGGCAAACUUCUGCCUGAGGCUUUGGUUCUCUCCCAGACUGUCUGGGCCUUUGCAGAGAAUCUGUUUAUUAAGCAUUUGUCCCAAUCUGUUUGCAAUAAUAAUAGUAAUCAAAAAUGCAUGGAGAUUGAUAUGAGGUCACUGUUUGGGGUUUUUUUGGAGAUAAUUUUGUUUUGGAUAUUUUUAUUUUAACCUCUGUAUCUGUAUUCGAUCUGAAACUUUUUUAAUAUAUGGAAUUUUUUUUGUUGCUGAUGUUUUUAUUGUUAAAUCCUUUCAAUAUGUUUUUAUAAAGUAAUGGGGUUCGUGGGUGGAAAUGAAUGAAUAGCAUCCCGUGAUCACAUACUUCCCUUUGCAUUUUCCCAUCGCUUUUCUUAGCACAAAAUUUCUGUGUGGGCAGUUGGGAGUGCUAAGUUGGAAGUAGGUUUGUUGUGCAAGAGUGCCAAAUUCAUUUUAAGUGUGCAAGCCAAUUUUUCUGGUAUAUGAGUGAUUCAAUACAGUUGCAGUCUAGAAGGGACCUGCAGCCCUAUAGCAUUUCUGAGGCACUGCCAUUCCUCUCUUUGCUGUUAGUAUAAAUGAAACUGUGCUUCCACAUGAUACUUGGCUGAAUAUACACCAUACAUUUAAAGCACAUUGUUUCCCCCAAAGAAUCCUGGGAAUUGUAGUUUACCCUUCCAGACUCCCUGACCUUCCAGAAACCUGCCGUUUAAUUCAGUUUCCUUUCUUUCUCAUCCACAGCUGUUGCCAAAACAGACCUCAAAUUAUUCAGUCGUUUCUUCUCUGCAGCCAUAGAACCCUCUGCUGUUCGUUCAUCCAUUUUAAGAAGUUUAAUUUUCAUCAGCACGCUUGUGCUUGGGGGUGUAGGGGAAAUGAAUUUUAAAAGUAUUAAUCGCACAUGCACUUUUAAAAGGAGAUGAGAUCACAAAGGAGGAGCGGAAGGCAAAAUGGAGUUAUGGGUUGCGUAGCGUUACAUGGUAAUGAACCCAGGAAACUGCACAGAAAAAAGCAGGACUUCACCUAUUACACGACCAACAUCCUAGAAUUGUGCGCUGCUCUGAAAGUGCUUUGCAAGUCUGCACUGGGCAGGCUGGCAGCUGCAAUUACAUUUGAAGUCAGAGAAAAUCACAGCAAUCCAAGUAUUUAGAAAGGAAGGCGAAAGCGGUGCCGUGGUUUUGGAAGUUGCAUCAUUGGGAUACUCUGCAAUCACUGAGAGAAUGAAUGAAUGAAUGAAUUGCGUCUUGAGAAAACAGCUUGUAUGAAAUCAGUGAGGAAAGAGGGGAAGGGCUGGCCCUUCAGGGCUAGAGCAGGAAAUUUGCCUGCAAAAGUUCCCAGGUUCAGUUCCUGGCCAUCUCCCUGUAGAAGAAGAAGAAGAGUUUGGAUUUGAUAUCCCGCCUUUCACUCCCCUUCAGGAGUCUCAAAGCCGCUAACAUUCUCCUUUCCCUUCCUCCCCCACAACAAACACUCUGUGAGGUGAGUGGGGCUGAGAGACUUCAGAGAAGUGUGACUGGCCCAAGGUCACCCAGCAGCUGCAUGUGGAGGAGCGGGGAAGCGAACACGGUUCCCCAGAUUACGAGACUACCGCUCUUAACCACUACACCACACUGAUUCUCAUAAGAAGCACUGGGAAAGCUCCCCUCUUCUUCCUGAAACUGGAGACUCUGUUGAAAAUGCAGAGCGAGGUGGACCAGGGGUCUGGUUAUCAGAGGAGAUGGUCCAGAUAGACCAGGGGUCUGAUUCAACAGGAGGCAGGCUCCUGUUACGUUAUAGCCACCCAUGACCUUCACUUGUCCCUUCAGGCGAGGAUCGGAAGCGUAGAGAACAGAGGAACUUGCAAGAUGUGUGCGUAACUGUCCCUUCCUUCUGCAAUCUUUGCCCUUCCCUUAGCUUAUGUUAAUACACAUGCAUACCUUUGCUUCCUCUUCCCUUUCUUAUUCCUCAUUUGGAAAGAAACUGCCCUGAGGAGAGAAGUCAUCCCGCAAGGUAUUUCAAAGCCCCAAGCACAAUUGCCGUCUUGUACAAGUCUGGUUCCUCCCUAAGACUGGGGAAAGCUGCAGAAAACUGAUCUAGUCUUUGGGCCCCUCCAGGCAGCCCCUCUCAUGUGUCGUCCAG